rnacentral:rRNA from 1 species
CCUACGGGACGCAGCAGUGGGGAAUAUUGCACAAUGGGCGCAAGCCUGAUGCAGCCAUGCCGCGUGUAUGAAGAAGGCAUUCGGGUUGUAGAGUACUUUCAGCGGGGAGGAAGGUGUUGUGGUUAAUAACCACAACAAUUGGCGUUACCCGCAGAAGAAGCACCGGCUAACUCCGUGCCAGCAGCCGCGGUAAUACGGAGGGUGCAAGCGUUAAUCGGAAUUACUGGGCGUAAAGCGCACGCAGGCGGUCUGUCAAGUCGGAUGUGAAAUCCCCGGGCUCAACCUGGGAACUGCAUUCGAAACUGGCAGGCUAGAGUCUUGUAGAGGGGGGUAGAAUUCCAGGUGUAGCGGUGAAAUGCGUAGAGAUCUGGAGGAAUACCGGUGGCGAAGGCGGCCCCCUGGACAAAGACUGACGCUCAGGUGCGAAAGCGCGGGGAGCAAACAGGAUUAGAUACCCGUGUAGUC